CCCUUAGAUGUCCUGGGCCGCACGCGCGCUACAAUGGCUCACUCAGAAAGUUUUUCCUGAUCCGGAAGGAUUCGGGUAAUCUUCAUAGCAUGAGUCGUGUUAGGGAUCGAUCUUUGCAAUUAUAGAUCUUGAACGAGGAAUGCCUAGUAAGUGCAGCUCAUCAGGCUGUACUGAUUACGUCCCUGCCCUUUGUACACACCGCCCGUCGCUCCUACCGAUUGAGUGGUCCGGUGAACCUUCUGGAUUAAGCAGCAAUGCUUGAGAAGUUAGGUAAACCUUAUCACUUAGAGGAAGGAGAAGUCGUAACA
rnacentral:rRNA from 1 species